UACGGAGGGGGCUAGCGUUGUUCGGAAUUACUGGGCGUAAAGCGCGUGUAGGCUGCUCUGCAAGUCGGAUGUGGAAGCCCUGGGCUCAACCUAGGAAGUGCACUCGAAACUGCAGAGCUCGAGUCUCGGAGAGGAUCGCGGAAUUCUCGGUGUAGAGGUGAAAUUCGUAGAUAUCGAGAGGAACACCGAUGGCGAAGGCAAUCCCCUGGACCUGUACUGACGCUCAUGCACGAAAGCGUGGGGAGCAAACAGG
rnacentral:rRNA from 1 species